AAAAAUCACCUAAAUUCCAAUUGUGGCAAACAAGGCAUAGGGUUAUGGUUCUCACUCUAACACAUUCGUACAAUCCGAAUCACUUCUAUCACGAGAGUUCCGACAUAAUUUAUAGAAAAUAGAUAAAUGUGAGUAAUAUCUACUUUCACCGGCGCAUUACCCUAUCAAUGACGAAUAAUUCGUCUUCUUUCGCACCAUCUG
rnacentral:lncRNA from 1 species